GUUUGGUCUUUGAGUUCUUUAAGUAUUCUGCCGCUGAUGUUGUCUGGGCCGGUUGCCUUAUGUGGGUUUAUAUUGUGUAGGAGUUUCUUGACACCAGGUAAAGAUAUUUCGAGUGGUGUUAUCACAGGGUGUGAGCUAGGACCUUUGUCUGGAAUGGUGUUAUUUGAUUCAGUUGUAAACACUGAUUGGAAUUGUGUGUUGAGGAUGUCUGCCUUUUGCUUUGUAUCAGCUAUUAACUGUCCUUCUUUUUUCAGUGGUGCGACACCGGUGUUAUCUGUGCGCAGUGAUUUAAUAAAGGCUUUUUAGGUUUAGAUUGAUUGUUGCACUGUUGGUCGGGUUCAUUUAUGGGUAGGUC
rnacentral:lncRNA from 1 species